CCUGGUGGCUCAGACGGUAAAGCGUCUGCCUAUAAUGUGGGAGACCCAGGUUCGAUCCCUGGGUCAGGA
rnacentral:tRNA from 1 species